rnacentral:rRNA from 1 species
UACGUAGGUGGCGAGCGUUGUCCGGAAUUACUGGGCGUAAAGGGCUCGUAGGCGGCCAACUAAGUCAGACGUGAAAUCCCUCGGCUUAACCGGGGAACUGCAUCUGAUACUGGAUGGCUUGAGUUCGGGAGAGGGAUGCGGAAUUCCAGGUGUAGCGGUGAAAUGCGUAGAUAUCUGGAGGAACACCGAUGGCGAAGGCAGGUCUCUGGGCUGACACUGACGCUCAUGCACGAAAGCGUGGGGAGCAAACAGG